UGCGAGAAGAACGCUGGAAACUAAUAGCGUGAUCACCCUGGAUGUAUUUCAUUUACCUUCACUACUUACAUUCCCGUAAAAUGUCAAAAUUUAGUAUCGAAUUCAAACAUAUAAUAUGCAUGCAUGCUCUAUGUACCUUUGAAACAGAUAUGUACGUGCAUAAGCAAUUUAGAACAAAGUAGAUAGACAUUUUUUGUUUGAAGCCAAAUCGCAAAAGGAGUAACGAAAAGGUAAUUACCUUUUUAUUUUUUAUUAAUUAAAUAACGGAAAUGAAAUAUAUCCUCAAGUAAUAUUCUCAAAUGUUACUAUACAGAAAUAAACUUUUAAACAUUUCUUGCGCACUCUUCCUUGGCUUUAAUUUUACUGGGUUUGUGGAUUCUUUGGAAAUGCUGAAACAAUUUCUUGUCAGUAAGACACUAUCUUUACAGCAUGUGCGCAAUAUGUCCUCCGUUCAUUUAAACACACGCUUUGCCAUAUUUUCUCAUAGAAGUACGCGCACGUUGAAAGAUUCCACGCGCGUUUCUGUUAUCUCUUGGCAACAAUUUUCGAUUCUUCGUAUCUUUAUACAGUAUUAUGCACUAAACGUCUCGUAACUUCGAAAGUGGCUUUUUAACGAUGUUUGGACGUUUGUUUAUGAAGACAUUUUUGCUCGAUUCGACGAUAUUUUUAUUACAUUCUGCCAAAGUUCGGUUAUAACCAGGGUUGCCGGAGGAAUUCCUCAAUCUGUGAACUGCGGAGUUUGGCUUCAAAAAUCCCUUACGGGCUGCGUAGUUGAAAUCAAGCAAUGACGAGUAUACACGUCGGACGCUGGGCAAUUUAUUAUAAAUUUUACGAAAAAGCGUGGUAGCUCGUCUCGAGAAGAGUUCGAUCAUUUGGUGGACUGUGGGAAAAUUUAAACGUGUAACAAUCUUAUUUAAAAUAUAUCGAAAUAGCUGAUACAUAUACGCGCAAACGACGAGCAGCCGUUUUCCGAGUCAGCCGAGACCAAUAAAAUAGACAGAACGAAUGACAAAGAGCAAGGGAACAAAGCUAUCACCACCGUCACUCGGAGCUGAGUCAUCUAAACAUUCGAAAACGAUGAGUCGUGCAACUAACAGAAAUUGGAAUGUUUAUAUUUAAAAAAACGGGUGAAUUUUAUUACAACACGAUACUGUUAUUAUGAGAAAUGAAAGAGCUCGUUAACCAAUGGAAAAAUUAGCGAUUAUGUUGAGUAAAUUUCAACUUAAAUACUCUUCAUCAGUCUUGGGAAUAACGAGAUGAAAUUCUUCGGCCGAUCUGCU
rnacentral:misc_RNA from 1 species